rnacentral:rRNA from 1 species
UACGUAGGGUGCAAGCGUUGUCCGGAAUUAUUGGGCGUAAAGAGCUUGUAGGCGGUCUGUCGCGUCUGCUGUGAAAACUCAGGGCUUAACCCUGAGCUUGCAGUGGGUACGGGCAGACUAGAGUGCGGUAGGGGAGACUGGAAUUCCUGGUGUAGCGGUGAAAUGCGCAGAUAUCAGGAGGAACACCGGUGGCGAAGGCGGGUCUCUGGGCCGUAACUGACGCUGGAGGAGCGGAAAGCAUUGGGAGCGAACAG